GAACAACGUCUCGUGUAGUCUAGGUGGACUGACACAUGUCACUAAACAACUGAGGACUCUGAACCUCUGAUCCUGCCUCCACCUCACAAAUGCUAGGAUUAUAGACAUAGCUACCACAGAUGGCUUGAUGGCCUCUCAUUCAACAAACUAAUUUUUAAAAUUUAGCCUAUUCUAUUUCACAUUUGCCUAUGUGUUUAAAACUAUCUAUUCUAUUUCACAUUUGCCUAUGGGUUUGAUAUCAUUCAAACCAGUUAACAUUAAAGGGCACAGUUUGAAAUCUUUCUUUGGUGCUGGGGAUUGCACGCAAGGCCUGAAACCUGCUCUACCACUUGACCUACAGCUCCAGCAAUCGCUUUACACUUUUAUUUCAUGUGUACGAAUGCUUUGCUGCGUGUAUGCCUGGUUCCCCUGCAGAUUCCCCAGGAACUGCAGUAACAGACAGUUGUAAGUCACAGCAUGGGUGCUGGAAAUAGAACCAGAUUCCUCUGCAAGAACAAGUGCUUUGAACUGCUGUGCUAUCUCCCCAACCCCUUAGCAAUUUUAAAAUAAAAAAAUGAGCUAGAAAGUCUAGAUAUUUUUCCAGUAAUCUUUUGAGACAGGUUUCACUAGGUAGCCUAGAAUGUAGAUCAGGCUGGUCUCUGACUCAAGAGAGAUCUUCCUGUUGCUGUGUCCUGAUUGCUGAGAUUAAAGGAAUUCACUACCAUACCCCAAUCAAGUUUUUUAAAACCUGCUUCAAAAAUGUUCAGUUUCAAAUAUCUACUAGUCUAGUAUCCCUAUAUGGACUAUAUUUUUAAUAACCAGAAUUUACUUCUUAAGUCAUAAUUGUCCCUUCAUUAUUUAUGAGCUAUAACAAUGUCAGAGGGAUAAAGACUGCAUUUGACCUGUGAGUAAGGAAGACUGCCCAAAGGGCCUGUUGUAAGGCUCUGUGCAGGGACUCCCUGGGCUAUUAAUUAUUUAUCUACUUUUCAAAGUUAAUAAAUAGAAAUGCCUUUCUGCUCUUUAUCUCCCAGAUGAAUUUAGCCGUGUGUGUGUGUGUGUGUGUGUGUGUGUGUGUGCGUGUGGUGGGAGGGGAUGACAGGGUACAUAUGUGGGAGACAGCAGCCUGAGAGCAUAGGAGAGCCAGGUUACAGAGAGGAGAUUCUUAAAGAACAAAUACAGAGCACUUACUGCUUUGCCUGUCAUGUUUUUAUUAGGGUUAAUAUCUCAGAUUGAUUGGUUUUGAGUGUUCUUUUAGAAACACUAGUGUUUUGGUUUUUUUUUUCCUUAAAGAUUUAUUUAUUUAUUUAUUUAUUUAUUUAUUUAUUUAUUAUAUCUAAGUACACUGUAGUUGUCUUCAGACACACCAGAAAAGGGCAUCAGAUCUCAUUAUGGAUGGUUGUGAGCCACCAUGUGGUUGCUGAGAUUUGAACUCAGGACCUUUGGAAGAGCAGUCAGUGCUCUUAACCACUGAGCCAUCUCUCCAGCCCCCAGCACUAGUGUUUUUAAAUCAUAACAUUAAUACAAAAAAAAAAAGGGUCAAUGUAUCUAUUUUCUUUAUAGCCCAAAUAAACCCUGUUGACAUUUAAAAAUGUAUGGACAGUUAGAAAACCUAAAGUGAGGGAAGCUCCACUCAGUCCCUUCACAGACAGCCACUGCCCACCCGUCUGUCCUACCAGAAAUGUAAGCACAUGUGUGUGCCUUCCCAUUUCCCCGAGAAGAGCUCUGUACAUGGGGCUUGUAACAACGUUCCUUCUCUAUGCAGCACAGCGUGGGACCUGGCCUCUUAGUCCUUCCCAGCCCUGGAGAAUUCCUCUUCCUUUCAGACACUGGGCUUCACCCCCACUCCCAGGUUAGUGUUACAUUGUUAAAGCGUGGUGCUACAUACACAAGGUUGGUAUAGCAAUUAAAAACUACUCCAAGCAAUCUCUCAUAGCUGUGUGGUAGAUUAAAAAAAAAAAGUUGAAAAUUUCCCCAGACACUCAUACCAAGCGGGUCUCUGAACAGCAGGAGACAACUACUGAGGGAAGGCUCCUUUUCUCUGGGACAAAGGUGGGUGCAUGCUGGCUUGUGAGGUCAGAAGGCCUGUCCUCCCAGAUGUUCCUGCUGCUUCAAGGCACCUCCCUCUUACCCCCCACCCCCCAUCACCUGUGCUGGAGAGAUAUGCACAGGGCAGUGGGUAAAACUGCUUGGCGGCUGGGGCCCGCCCUCCCUCCUUCCCUCCCUCCCUCAGGCUGAGGUGAAGUAUGACAGGAAUGACUGCAUAUGGCUGCAUGACCAUGGCUGGAUGGCAGACUUAGGGCAGGAAAGUGGCUCACAUCCUCAUCUCCCUGCUAUCUCUACACACAGCCGCCUCAAAUCCUUAAAUGCUUGGGGGUUUACAUUUAUUUUAAAGGAUUUUAACAUGUUUACUUGCUUGUUUGUUUGCUUUUUCCAAUUCCAUUUACACAUCUGCCAGCUCCAUUAGACAAAUUAAUAGGGGUUAUUAUCUACUUUAAAAUAAAAAUGGCAUUGUGUCUAAGGGGCAGUGAAGUCAAAUGACUUGUUCAUAGUCAGGCGACUGACUAAAUAUUCUGACUCCAGCUCCCAUAUUCACUCGGCUUCUCCCCAGCCUACCCCAGUGCAACAAGUCUAGCCCGCGGCUUUACAACCUCAAACAAAGAAAAGGUAGGAAGAGUUGUGUGUGUGGGUGCAUGCUUGGUAUCUCUGCACUCCAAAAGGUAAGGCAAGAGAGUCGGUCCCAGGCCAGCCUGGGCUCUGUAUGUUAAACUGCUCUACUCCCAAAUCCUAAAUUUAAAUAUUGACAGAAACAUAACUUUUACCAGUUUAACCAACACCUGUGAAAAUUUACUUUUGUGAGUAUAAACAUCUUUAUAUUUAAAACAUCUCAACUUUUGAAAGUUGAUCUUUUUAGUUUUAAGGAUGAGAAACGUUGCCUUGGAAUAUAAUAGUCGCCUGUCAUUUCGAUUUCUUGAGCCGCCUUUUAGCCAAUCAGGAUUGAGGUAGAUGACUGAGGGUCCCCCCCCCCCCUUUCCUUUUGAAACUGGGUCUUUAUAUGUAGUCUUGGCUGUCCUGGAACUCACUCUACAGACAAGGCUGAUCUCUCCCUCCCAAAGGCUGGGAUUAAAGGUGUGUGUCACCACUUGCUCCAUCACUGUGUUUGGUUUUGGUUUCAGUUUUCCAAGACAAGGGUUUCUCUGUGUAGCCCUGGUUGACCUCAAACUCAGAGAUCUGCCUGCCUCUGCCUCCCGAGUGCUGGGAUUAUAGGCCUGCACCACCACCACCCAGCUGUUUUGUAAAGUCUAAGACAGUUGGUUUUUUUUAGAUUUACUUAUUUUUCCUUUAUCUGUAUAAAUGUUUCGUCUGCCUGUAUGUGCAUCCCAUGCAUGCCUCCUGGGUCCCUUGGAUCUAGGGUUACAGAUGGUUCAGGUGCUGGGAAUCAGAUGGCUUUUCUGCAAGAGCAGGGAGUGCUCUUGUCUCUUCAGCACUCAAAUCCUUUUGAGAAGAGAAGAAAUGCAUUUACUUUAUAAAGCCCAGACAAGUAUCUGUCACUGAAACAAAAGGUUUACAAAAUAACCAUGCCACCCUCAAGUGGCUUACCCCACUGUUCAUGCUUGUAUCAUUUUCUGCUUUACUUUAAAACCAUCUAUUAUGGCUAAGUACAUGGAUUUCACAAGUGGGUUAUGACCCAUAGUUUGAAAAACACAGCCUUAAGAUGAACACACAGGGAUUCUGCCCUCCAGACGUCCGUACCCUCGCUGUCAGCCUCAAAUAUACACAGUCCCAAGAGAACCUGAAGCCUGGCAAAGGCCUUGGUGCCAAUUACUUCAACAACCUACUGAGCAGCAGACUUUGCAGCAUCCCUGACAAGGUGGCACAACCAAAACGUCUGCUUCUCAGUGACACCAUCAGCUGUGCACACAGAAAAUCCCUGCUUCCCCAUCACUGUAGAACCAGACACAGCAGUUCCUCCAUUUUGCACCUACCACAGGGCUUUCAUAUAGAGCCCCAUAUAGUAGAACAGAAGUUAAUUAAGCACCUAAAUACACAUGCAACUUUUCCCUAAGAGGCAACUUGACUUAGUCCUAGCCCCAGCUUGGUCUUUUGUAGGAGGACAGAAGAGAUAAAGCCAGGAGACAGAGAUCUAGAAGGUUCCCCUUAAGUGACCUCAGGAGAGCCAGCGGAUGAGCUCAUCCGCAAUCUCCGGUCCUGGGGAGUCCUUAACAAGUCAUAGUCCUACCAAAGGCUGGAAGCUGGGAGACACUCCCCUAAGGAGGUUCACUGGAGCUGAGUCUUUUUUUUUUUUGUUUGUUUUUGUUUUUCGAGACAGGGUUUCUCUGUGUAGCCCUGGCUGUCCUGGAACUCACUCUGUAGACCAGGCUGGCCUCGAACUCAGAAAUUCGCCUGCCUCUGUCUCCCGAGUGCUGGGAUUAAAGGCGCGUGCCAUCACGCCUGGCAGGAGCUGAGUCUUGACAGAGAAACUCCACAUAAUCGGGCUGUGGAGAAGACAGGAGGUCUUCAGAAGAAACAAGCCUAGCAAUUCGGCAACAGUGACAAAGGGUUCACAGAGAUGGCAAGAGAUUAAAACCUUUCCAGAAAGGUACACCGUACAAUCUGAAACACAUAAUUUAUGAGCUAACUAAAAAUAAAAUAAAAACAAAAGGCUUUUUAAAAGAGAGCUAGCCAAAAAGAAAGACUGAGAUAAGACCAGAUCCACUAGGGAAUGCAAGACAACUAUACAUUUUUUUUUUAACAUGUGGGUAACAUGAGGUUACUAAAGCCUUCUGAAUGUGAAGAACAGUAUUCCAAAAUUAUUGCAAGUGGAGCCGAAACCUGUCUCUAAAGGCUCUAGAGUCAGACAAUAAGCUCCCAAUGUUUUACUAUAGAUAAAAGGGGCACAUGCAUAUGGAUUUCAUAAAUUCAAGAACUUCUAAGAGGCAUCUAGGCUACUCUGAGGUGAAAAGCUGAGAUGUGCGCACUGAGCCUGGAUGGUGAUGAAGUCCUAGUCAUUGCUCCUCUCCUCUCCCCCUUUGUUAAGGAGUGGAAACCUGGCCUAUAGUUAAAUGGUCCUUUUCUUUAUAAAAGCUACAGACUUUACUCAAACUAAGCUCCUGACUUGAUCCACCUGAAGGUUGCUAGGAACCAGUAGAUUACGAUAAACCAUUUUUCAGAAAGUAAAUUUUGCCUAAACACUAACAACCUUCAUGAUAAUGAGAUUUCUAAAGUUGCUGUACAGGGCUCUAUGAGGGCAUUGACUAUCUAGUAAUUCUGGCUCUGCUGGAUAUACUGUCUGUGCCCUAUGAACCUCAGCUAAAAUGAAGGUCUGUCUCAGGUGAAUACAAACACCGUAUGUGAGUCACUUUGCAAUUACAGCUGACACCUGAAAGCAUAUUUAAAGCAUGACAGCCACAAUGCUAGAUCUCUGUAAGACUGCCCUGGUCUCUGUCUCUCUUCCCAGUCUCAAGAUGAAGAGAGCUCAGGAUUCUUGACAAAUCAUAGGCUAAUUUUUAUUACACUUCUAAAUUUAAAAAAGGCUGUCCCCAAAGACCUAAAAAUUACUGAGCUGUGAGUGUUGUAAAUUUCAGAGACAUAAGAUGUAUUGCUUAAGGCUGUUGGGUCUGUUUGUUUGGUCUUUUUGUUGUUGUUUUCCUCCCAAAUGGAAGUCACGUCAGGAAAAAUAUCUGUCCACACCAGGUCUACAUGCUACGACCCAAGUCCAUGAAACUGACUAGGGCCCCAUGGACCAUUUGCCACAGAGUAACAUAGUUACUCAGUUCUCUGCUGCUGUGUUUCUCCACUCAAGAAAGCCGUUUAAAGCGCUGGGACAGUGAAACUCCGGCCACUUGAAAAUUUCAAACCAGAAUCUGAAACGGUGCCCCAAUCCCACCCCUCGGUCAGAGGUACAGGAACCAGGAACAAGACAUCUGAGCGAGCACUUAAAAGAAAGACAAAACAAACCUAGUAAAACUCCAAAGCAAAGCGCCUCUACACACCCUCAGCCUUUGAAACGUCUUGCCCCCACGAGUUGUUGUUUUUCCUCCCAGAGGGAAGGCAGUUUACGGCCGACUUCGCCUUCCCAGGGUGGAGCACACUCAGCUCUGCUGUCAUCUCCCUUGUCCUGGACUGACACGGAUACAACUGUGUGUGGUGCUUGGCUGUGCAAGUUCAAGUGUUUCCACCCUAAACCGAGGCAGUGGUUAAAUCCUGAGUGCAGAGCAAGAAGCCGGUGGCCAGGGGCCUAGCACACCCUUGUGCUCGAAGUCACAAGCUGCAAAACCAGGCCGCCGGCGGCCCCACCCUGGCCCGUGCCAGUGCGUCUGCGGCCCCCUCCACGCCGGCCGCUCGCUCCUUUCUGGGUCACUCAGGGUGCAGGGCGAGGACGUGAUCUCCGCCUCCCACCCUGCAGGGCCCCGGAGCGAGGCUGCGAACUUACUGCAGGCCGAGCUCGCACGCCUGACCCGGGGAGCCAGGGCGGCCUCGCACAGGCGGGCCAGGUCGUGCUGAGUCGCGCCUCCCCGCCGGGGCCGGACCCCCACCCCCGGCCGCCCUCGCCUUCACCCCACGGCCUCACCCCGGCCGCCGGACACACACGUGCCGGGUGACAGCCCCCUAUAGGUUCCAUACCUGCUGCCGGAAGUGAGCGAGGAGGGCAGUAUAGGCAUUUCCUGUGACGCCAGCGCCCGGACUCCAUUAGACAGCAGCUGGGGGAAGAAUCAACACACCAGGGAGCGGAGCGGCGCGGACCCAGCACCGAGGCGGCCGCUGCCUCCGCCGCCGCCUCCGCCGCCGCCGUCCGGGCUCCCAGCUUCGGGCCCGCGCCCCCCCCAGUGCCCGCGAGCCCCCGGGCCGCGCCGCGAGCGCCUCCGGAGGGGGGGGGAAGGGCCCGGUCCUCCUUCUCCCCCUCCUCCCGCCCCGCCGACCCCCGCCGCGCCCCGCCGGCCUCCCACCACGGCCUCUCUCGGCGAGGAAACUCUGGCCUCCGCUUCCUCCUCCUCCGACUCGGACGCCGGCGGAGCCUCCCCGCCCCCGCGAAAGAAGCCCCGAGCCUCGGCGGCGGAGGGAGCAGGAGAGCCCGGGGCCUCGGCGGGCCGAGCAGGCCUCCCCCCCCCGCCCUCGCCCUCGCCGGCCGCCUCCUCCUCCUCCUCCUCCGUGGUGGUGGUGGUGGGACUGCCUCCGGCCGCCCCCGCCGCCCCGCAGCGGAGCAGCGGCCACAGCCUGGUCAGCGGCGGCACCAUGCAGGCCAACGGGGCGGGAGGAGGCGGCGGCGGGGGCGGCGGGGGCCAGGGCCAGACCCCGGAGCUCGCCUGCCUGUCGGCGCAGAACGGGGAGUCGUCCCCUUCGGCGACGUCCGCGGGGGACCUGGCCCACGCCAACGGGCUCCUGCCUGCCGCCCCCUCCGCCGCUGGCAACAAUAGCAACAGCCUGAGUGUCAAUAACGGGGUUCCCGGCGGGGCCGCCGCGGCCUCCGCCACCGCCGCCGCCGCCCAGGCCACCCCCGAGCUGGGCAGCAGCCUCAAGAAGAAGAAGCGGCUCUCGCAGUCCGAUGAGGAUGUCAUUAGGCUCAUAGGACAGCACCUCAAUGGCCUAGGGCUCAACCAGACUGUUGAUCUCCUCAUGCAAGAGUCAGGAUGUCGUUUAGAGCAUCCUUCUGCUACCAAAUUCCGAAAUCAUGUCAUGGAAGGAGACUGGGAUAAGGCAGAGAAUGACCUGAAUGAGCUAAAGCCUUUAGUGCAUUCUCCUCACGCUAUUGUGGUAAGAGGCGCACUUGAAAUCUCUCAAACGUUGUUGGGAAUAAUUGUGGCACAAACGUUUUCUGAAACUUCCAGCAACUUUUUCCCCUGACUGCUGCUUUCUGUCAUGUCAGAGGAUGAAGUUUCUGCUGCUGCAGCAGAAGUACCUGGAAUACCUGGAGGACGGCAAGGUCCUGGAGGCACUUCAAGUUCUACGCUGCGAACUGACGCCGUUGAAAUACAACACCGAGCGCAUCCAUGUCCUUAGUGGGUAUCUGAUGUGCAGCCAUGCCGAAGACCUACGGGCAAAAGCUGAAUGGGAAGGCAAGGGCACAGCGUCCCGGUCCAAACUGCUGGACAAGCUUCAGACCUAUUUACCACCAUCAGUGAUGCUUCCCCCACGGCGUUUACAGACUCUCCUGCGGCAGGCGGUGGAACUACAAAGGGAUCGGUGCCUAUAUCACAAUACCAAACUUGACAAUAAUCUAGAUUCUGUGUCUCUACUUAUAGAUCAUGUUUGUAGUAGGAGGCAGUUUCCCUGUUACACUCAACAGAUACUUACAGAGCAUUGUAAUGAAGUGUGGUUCUGUAAAUUUUCUAAUGAUGGCACUAAACUAGCAACAGGAUCAAAGGAUACCACAGUUAUCAUAUGGCAAGUUGAUCCGGAUACGCACCUGUUAAAACUGCUUAAAACGUUAGAAGGACAUGCGUAUGGUGUCUCUUAUAUAGCAUGGAGUCCAGAUGACAGCUAUCUUGUUGCUUGUGGUCCAGAUGACUGCUCUGAGCUUUGGCUUUGGAAUGUACAGACGGGAGAAUUAAGAACAAAAAUGAGCCAAUCUCAUGAAGACAGUUUGACCAGUGUGGCCUGGAAUCCAGAUGGGAAACGCUUUGUGACGGGAGGUCAGCGUGGUCAGUUCUACCAGUGUGACCUGGACGGAAAUCUUCUGGACUCCUGGGAAGGAGUGCGAGUACAGUGCCUGUGGUGCUUGAGUGACGGGAAGACUGUGCUGGCUUCCGACACGCACCAGAGAGUCCGGGGCUACAACUUUGAGGACCUGACAGAUAGAAACAUAGUACAGGAAGAUCAUCCUAUUAUGUCAUUUACUAUUUCCAAAAAUGGCCGAUUAGCUUUGUUAAAUGUAGCAACUCAGGGAGUUCAUUUAUGGGACUUGCAAGACAGAGUUUUAGUAAGGAAAUAUCAAGGUGUUACCCAAGGGUUUUAUACAAUCCACUCGUGUUUUGGAGGCCAUAAUGAAGACUUCAUUGCUAGUGGCAGCGAAGAUCACAAGGUUUACAUCUGGCACAAACGUAGUGAACUGCCAAUUGCGGAGCUCACAGGGCACACGCGCACAGUAAAUUGUGUUAGCUGGAACCCACAGAUUCCAUCCAUGAUGGCCAGUGCCUCAGACGAUGGCACUGUUAGAAUAUGGGGACCAGCACCUUUCAUAGACCACCAGAAUAUUGAAGGGAAGGAACCAAAAUAUGGCAGAGCUCGUUAACUUGUUGAACGCUGCCAUUUCGGCAAAUCUAGGUCUGGAAAGUUUUCCCCACCACCUUGAUACUUGAAGAUGAAGAAAGUCAUAAAGCUAACAGAUGAGGACAAAUUCUUGAUUAAAUAUAAUAGUACUAGAGAGAAGUAAUAAAUUUUAUAGGAAUGCAGUAGCAUGGAUAGUUGAUGGCAAAUUUGGAGCAGACGACUUCUGUUUAACUUAAAAUUAGUCGUAUUUUAAUGGCUUGGGAUUUGGUGCAAACAAACAUGAUUGAUAGCUGGACAGACAUGCUCGUCAUGAAAAAAAAAAAAAAAGAACCAUUUUGAAGCCCGAUUGGGGCCAAACAUUUACACCUUGCUUCCUAGUAACCAGUUGAUGAAGCGCGUCUAGAACGUUGUUGGACACCAUGUUGAAUUAUUCCCCAUCGGUUGUGAAGAACUGUGCUACAUUCAGGCUUACCCAUUGAACUCAGUAUAUAUAUUUUUUCCCUCCUGCCUUUUGUCUGGUGGGACACCAUUCUUGUUGCUCUUCUGUGUAAUGAAGUUCAAAUGCUUGUUUGGAAACUUUAUUUAACAGUUUAGAAGGCUUGAUAGGAAGAGGUCAUUAGUCUGAAGAGUAUACAUUGGACAGGAAAGAAUUUCCUUUCGUUUCUCCAAAUCUUUCCGCCUUAUUUAGCGUGAGAUCUUUGCAGCUUGGUUCAUGGAUUCUAGCCUUGCCCGUUGCGCAGUAUAUGCUGAUCAGAUGAUAAACCAGUGAACUAUGUCAAAAGCACUCUCAAUAUUACAUUUGACAAAAAGUUUUGUACUUUUCACAUAGUUGUUGCCCCGUAAAAGGGUUAACAGCACAAUUUUUUAAAAAUAAAUUAAGAAGUAUUUAUAGGAUUAAAGUGACUUCAUUUGUAUACAUUUGGAAUCUAAACCAGCUUAAAAACAGUGUCCUCUGUGACUGAGAUAUGCAGUGUAACUGAUGCUCUUCUGGAGUGCCACGUGAGACAUGGCAUGGUCAGAAACAGUGUUCAGAAGGACACGGCACAGGAAAGCCAGAGAGAUACUUUCCCCUUUUUAUUUUAUUCCUGAAGGGACAUCAGUACCUGAUACUGAAGAAAUUCAAGAUUCAAAAGGAAAAUUUUAUAAAUAAACCAGUACAGAAGAUCAGCAUCAGUCUAGGUUUUCAAGAAAGCUUGUUCCAAGUUCUCUGAACUUGAGGGAAUCGUUUUGAUGUGAUCUAGCAGAAGUAGACAUCAGAAGAUAGACCUACUUUGGGAAUUUAUAGUGUAGUUAAAUCUUAGAGGAAGUCAGCAGGCUACAAACAUUUAUGUAAACUGGAAUUAAAGCCUGAGUCAUUUCUCCUAAUUGCCCUUAAUGUCCAACAUAUAGGGACACUCAUUUAAAGAAGAUUCCUUCUCAGCUUCUCAGAUGUUGCCAUAAUGAACCUCAUUCAAACUGGUGCUGUGGACAGUCUUUCCCUCUCCCUCCCCUUUUAGUUUACGGGAAUGUUUCCUUUAUGGAAAAAAAGUGACUUGUCAUUUUGAAGACCCUAUAUCUAACAUAAGCCUGAUUGAUGUUCAUGGUGUUUUCAACUCCAUAAUUGCUGGGUCUAACCAGUCUCCCUUGAAAUCCAUGUUUUCCAAUAGGAGAUAACCAGGGUGACCACAGCUCUUGGAAGGAAAAGUGGAAUUAACUCCAAUGUAUCCUGAUGAACAACAACAACAAAAAUCUGGUACAACUUGCCCUUGAGGCCAAGCCAAGUCCAUAGCAUUCACCAUGAUCAUAUGCCCCUCGGGAUCCUGAGAGAAGAGAGAGGCUUGUACUGAGGGGUCUUCCCAUUGUGGGGGUCGCAGGGAGGGAAAAGCCAGGAAGGCAGUGGUCAUUCUCCCAAAGUCCACCCAUCGUAAGGAGGUGACAGAUCGGAGUCAGCAGAUUAGUAAUUCAAAUGGGUAAUGGAAAAGAUUCCUUUAAGCUUCAUUUUUCAGAGACCAUCACUUUAGAAAAUCAGAGAAAUCCUGUUUUGAUACUUCUUAGUUAAAAUAAUAUGUUACCGUUUAUCUGGUACUUCAUUUUCUUGACUAAAAUUACUUUUCACUUUAAGCUUGAAUAAAAAUUUUCAUUCAUAACUGUAUAUAAUUAAGUGGCAACUCCUCUUUACCUCAGUGCAGUUAAGACCAUCUUUUGAUUGAUAUACCCUGAAGCCAUUAAUCCAUACACCUCAGUCUACAGUAACAAUCCCUAACACCAUGUGGGCACAGAACUCCACAGCUGUUUACAGAUGUGGUUACAGUGUACCACGUGGCAUGUGCAUGAUGCUCCCUGAGGGCUGUACCCAUCAGGGCAGUUUUGUAUCCAGCUGCACCUAGACCCGCCUGUUCACUGCUUCUGAAGUACAUUUAAAAACACUGGGAGGUAAGAGCGUGCCCCGAAGGUGAGGGCCAUGACCAGAACAUAACUCCUGUUAGAGUGGAGUUACAACUAUGCAAAGGUGUUGAUAGUAGCUAGGUGAGUUCGGUUUCCAAGUCUGUCUUAACUGGCCGCUCCCUCUCUAGACUGGUACUUGACUGUGCCAAUUUGCUGUAAGCAUCUGUUUCGUAUAUUUGCCAUGAAGUGAGUGUGGUAGAAAGGUGAAGAAAGCUAGGGUUUAUGGUGGAAGAACCUGGUGACAGGAUUACGUGAAAAUCUCUGACAUUGUGAUAAACUCGAUAAAGGCUUAAGAGAAUUCUGUCAAGCCUGCCACAAGAUGCUAACCAAUGUAUAAACUGAAAAGUACCAAUACUUUUUGCACAUAGAUCAAAAUAGUGGAGAAUUUUGGCUCCAAAAAUCAGGUUAGUAGGCUCAAUUCCAUGUGCUUAAAAUGUUUCUGUUGUUAAUGCAUCGAUUAAGGGCUAGAGUAAGAAUGGAAUUAAAUGUCUUUUUCCUCUAAAUUAACUGGUUAUUAGUGGUAAAGUGUUGGAUUUGGGGGGGGGGUCACUGAGGUUGGUUUGUGGGUGGUGAUCAAAAGAAUUAGCAUGGGAGUUAGGGGAGAUGACGAAGCUUCACACUUGGGGUUUGAAUUCCAUUAGUAUUCGUGCCAGCUGUGUGGCAUUGCUCUUCCUGGCCAGUUAAAUGUCCUGGUAACCCAGGUAAGUAGUAAAAACAGGGCAUUUUACUUGCAAAUGUCCCCUUAAAUUGGCUCAUUUUAUUGGGUAGGAGAACAAAAACUAGAAUUCUCCGACUAUAAGUAAUUAAGUGGACCUGCUAGGCAAACAGAAGCAGUAAUUCCGCAAGAGCAGUUGAUGAGGAGCAGUCUGCCUUAAGGGGCGUCCUGUGGCAUUAAUAGAAAAUCCUUUCCCACCCCUCCCCAUCUUGAAAUUUUCUUUUCUAGGAUGUUGGUUCCUGCAAACAAGAACUGACCCUCUGCCUCCCUUGGGUACACGUCUUGCACAUCUCUUGAACGGGGGCAAUGCCUAUGUCGUUUACUUUACAGCAGAAGAAUGGGAGGAGAGGAGAUACAUUGUCUUAGUUGUUCCCAUUUUAAAAAAAUAUAUUUUUACUUAAUUUUACUUUGAUGUCUCAUUUAGACAUCACCAACUCUCCCUUUGUGUUGCUGGCCAAAGCAUUCCCACCAUUUCCAAAACCAUACCUGAUUUCACAUAAACUGCUAACUUAAAGGGUGAAUUUGCAUUUACACUUAGACACUUUCUAAAAACAGGGUGAAAUUAACCUAAACUUUGCAGUGUUGAGUUAUUGUUAUAGUCGCUGCCCUAGAGUUGCAAAAACAAGCUGUAAAAGCCCAUCCCCUAUCUACUUAAUCCAGAUUGCCUGGAUUUAAUGAAGUUAAAAGAGUGUGUGUGUGUGUGUUUUGUGUGUGUGUGUGUGUGUGUGUGUGUGUGUGUGUGUGUGUGUGUUUGAGUGUUUGAGAAAGAACUUGAUUCCUAAAAUAUUCUAGAAACAACUUUUAGGUUGUCAUUUUUACUGAAUGUCUUGUGCACAUGUAAAGUACCCUCUCUUGAGUUUAAGGCUUGGUUAAUACUUGUCUAUUUUUAUAAAACUUAAAACUGUGUCCCAUCUUUAACUUAGACAUUUACAUUAUCAGGAUCAACAUGCUAGAAUUAAAUAACAUUUGUAGGCUCAGUGAGGGUAAAUGUUAUUGGCAGAGAGAGAGAGAGAGAGAGAGAGAGAGAGAGAGAGAGUGUAUGUGUGUGUGUGUGUGUGUGUGUGUGUGUGUGUGUGUGUGUGUGUGUGUGUUUUCCUGAGGGAGAUCCCGAAAGCAUGUAUGUGCUUAUAAACCAAGCUGUAGAGAUCAUGUAAAGACGCUGGGUGUUGCUCUGGAGGUUUCUGAGCUAUGGAAAGGGAUAGGGCAUUGUGGUGUGAUGUAGCUAACACAGAGCUCUUGGUAUGGAGUAACAGUUAACUAUGGACUGAUGUUUCCAGACGAUUGUGUUCUUAAUGGGGUUUGCUUUUUUAUUUGCCUCUCAGAUUAUGUUUAGUAGUUUAAAUUUCUUUGUUUUAUUAUUUCAUUAAAGUAUAAAAACUUCAGGUCUCAUAUUUAUUUUCACUUGUUCUACUAAUUAUUUACAAGACACUUUUUGGUUGACAUUUAUUUUAUAAAUGUGUGGUAUAUUAAAUGUCUUUAAUUUUUUUUGUUUUAUUGAAAUUACAGUAACUUUGAUUUGCUUUACUGGGAUUUUUAAAUUUUAUUUUAAUUCCACUUUUUCCAUGUCAGUGCACAGCACUUGCCCAGUCCUUUGUAUCCCCUUUCUGUCGAUUCAAUAAACAGAAUGAGUAAUUAAGUAA